rnacentral:rRNA from 1 species
AUUGAACGCUGGCGGAAUGCUUUACACAUGCAAGUCGAACAGCAGCACGGACUUCGGUCUGGUGGCGAGUGGCGAACGGGUGAGUAAUGUAUCGGAACGUGCCCAGUCGUGGGGGAUAACGUAGAGAAAAUUACGCUAAUACCGCAUACGAUCUAUGGAUGAAAGCGGGGGAUCGCAAGACCUCGCGCGAUUGGAGCGGCCGAUAUCAGAUUAGGUAGUUGGUGGGGUAAAGGCCCACCAAGCCAACGAUCUGUAGCUGGUCUGAGAGGACGACCAGCCACACUGGAACUGGGACACGGUCCAGACUCCUACGGGAGGCAGCAGUGGGGAAUUUUGGACAAUGGGCGAAAGCCUGAUCCAGCCAUUCCGCGUGCAGGAUGAAGGCCCUCGGGUUGUAAACUGCUUUUGUACAGAACGAAAAGGUUUCUACUAAUACUAGGAGCUCAUGACGGUACUGUAAGAAUAAGCACCGGCUAACUACGUGCCAGCAGCCGCCGUAA